UCCGGUGGCGAUAGCUAAGGGGAUCCACCUGUUCCCAUGCCGAACACAGCAGUUAAGCCCUUAUACGCCGAAAGUACUCGACUGGAAACGGUCCGGGAGGAUAGGGAGCUGCCGGUU
rfam:Acidaminococcus fermentans DSM 20731, complete genome.